rnacentral:rRNA from 1 species
AUUGAACGCUGGCGGCAGGCUUAACACAUGCAAGUCGAACGAGUGGCGGACGGGUGAGUAAUGCUUGGGAAUCUAGCUUAUGGAGGGGGAUAACUACGGGAAACUGUAGCUAAUACCGCGUACCAUAGGAUGAGCCCAUAUGGGAUUAGCUAGUUGGUGAGGUAAUGGCUCACCAAGGCGACGAUCCCUAGCUGGUCUGAGAGGAUUAUCAGUCCCACUGGGACUGAGACCCGGCCCAGGCUCCGACGGCAGGCAGCCGUGGGCAAUAUUGCCCAAUGGGCGCAAUCCUGAUGCAGCCAUGCCGCGUGUAUGAAGAAGGCCCUAGGGUUGUAAAGUACUUUCAGUCGGGAGGCGUUACCGACAGAAUUAGCACCGUCUAACUCCGUGCCAGCAGCCGCGGUAAUUC